rnacentral:rRNA from 2 species
CGGCGAGUGAAGCGGGAUGAGCUCAAAUUUAAAAUCUGGCUGGUUUACUAGUCCGAAUUGUAGUUUAUAGAAGCGUUUUCGGUGACAGCCUGGGUAUAAAUCCUUUGGAAUAGGGUAUCAUAGAGGGUGAGAAUCCCGUCUUUGACUCAGUGCAUGCUACUAUGUGAUACGUUUUCAAAGAGUCGAGUUGUUUGGGAAUGCAGCUCAAAAUGGGUGGUAAAUUUCAUCUAAGGCUAAAUAUUGGCGAGAGACCGAUAGCGAACAAGUACCGUGAGGGAAAGAUGAAAAGAACUUUGAAAAGAGAGUUAAACAGUGCGUGAAAUUGUUGAAAGGGAAACGCUUGACACCAGUUAUGCGGGUGGAAAAUCAGUCUUUUGCAAUGGGGAGUUGUGGGCGUUCAGACCGCAAGGCUGGCGUUUGCUUCAUCUUUGUUGUAAGUGAUGCACUUUUUCAUUUGCAGGUCAACAUCAGUUUGCUUUGCUGGACAAAACCCCAAGGGAAGGUGACAGCUUAGGCUGUGUUAUAGCCCUGGGGCGAUACAGUGGAGUGGACUGAGGUUUCGCAGUGUGUGCUCUCGGGCAAGGCUGACUGGGUGCUAUGGGAUCGUUCGGCGUACAAUGCAUGCAUUUUGCGUCGUGUCUUUUUCAUACUCGCUCAACUCGGCUCUUCCACGCUUAGGAUGU